CCCUAUGGGGUGCAGCAGGCAGGUGAGAGCUGUAUACCGAUUGAAUGGAGUCGAUGACGACGAACUCGUAGUCUCCGCUGUUAAUGUGUUUUCGUAUAACGUCAACGGCCGUUUCUGUCAGGAGAUACAGGUUGUCGUCUACCGCGUCAAGACGUCCGGCGCGCAAGCGCGUCUGAUGGAACGACUCUUCGCCGGACACGUAAAGUACCCGCCCGGCCGACCUCGCCAGAUGGCGGGACACCUGUAACAUCAAUGUCGAUUUUCCUAUGCCGGGAUCGCCGCCCACCAGAGUGAGCGAACCGGACACAAUUCCGCCCCCGAGCACGCGAUCGCACUCUGUAACGCCUGUCGAAAGGCGGGGCGGCAAAUUCUCCGUGCAUGUGGUGAGAGGAAUUGGCGGGAGGGC
rnacentral:rRNA from 1 species